rnacentral:rRNA from 1 species
GAUGAACGCUGGCGGCGUGCCUAAUACAUGCAAGUCGAGCGAGCAGACGAGGAGCUUGCUCCUCUGACGUUAGCGGCGGACGGGUGAGUAACACGUGGAUAACCUACCUAUAAGACUGGGAUAACUUCGGGAAACCGGAGCUAAUACCGGAUAAUAUAUUGAACCGCAUGGUUCAAUAGUGAAAGACGGUUUUGCUGUCACUUAUAGAUGGAUCCGCGCCGCAUUAGCUAGUUGGUAAGGUAGCGGCUUACCAAGGCAACGAUGCGUAGCCGACCUGAGAGGGUGAUCGGCCACACUGGAACUGAGACACGGUCCAGACUCCUACGGGAGGCAGCAGUAGGGAAUCUUCCGCAAUGGGCGAAAGCCUGACGGAGCAACGCCGCGUGAGUGAUGAAGGUCUUCGGAUCGUAAAACUCUGUUAUUAGGGAAGAACAAAUGUGUAAGUAACUAUGCACGUCUUGACGGUACCUAAUCAGAAAGCCACGGCUAACUACGUG